AGUGGGUUAAAGCCUCUGCCUUCGGCUCAGGUCAUGAUCCCAAGGUCCUGGGAUCGAGCCCCACAUCGGGCUCUCUGCUCAGCAGGGAGCCUGCUUCCUCCUCUCUCUGACUGUCUCUCUGCUUACCUGUGAUCUCUGUCUGUCAAAUAAAUAAAUAAAAUCUUUAAAAAAAAAAGAAUUGGGAUUUUAUUCUCAUCUGUCAGACAAAUUGUUAUAAUGAAUAUAUAAAUCUGCCAUGUCUACAAUGUGAGUAGUCUUUUCUUACUCAUGGCAACAUUGUGUACUGAGCCACCAGCAAGGUGAUGGGUUCCUGCCUUAUGUUUGAGUAAAAAUUCAGAAUGAGGAACCUGACUAGACUCCAUGCAUGGUGUCUUUCAUUUACAGUGUCACAAUGAUCAAGAAAAAGGAGCUACUCUGAAUUCACAUUUCAUGGCAUCACGAGGGUCACAGAUGGAAUCCAGAAAGUGGAGCUGUCUCAUCAAUAUGCUAAUUUGGUUCCAGUCUUCUAUGAUUGCUGUUCAGCUGCAGGCAAUUUCGAGGCAUAACAUACUGGAAUCUAGGAGAAGAGAGGAAUGUGAGAAGGUAAUGGACUACCUAGAUCAGUGUAUUUCAAUAUGGGAAAUCCUCAUGUCCCAAGAACAGGCCUCUGGGAUUUCUGAGGUGUGAAGGGCAGGGUAGGAUUUGGGGGCUCGAGUGAGGCCCGGUGGGGAGACUUCAGAUGCCUUCUUUUCUUUCAAACAAAAAAAUUUGAUGUGAUCUGCUUUCAAAAAUUUUCUUAAAACAAAACAAAACAAAACAACAACUGGCCUAGAAAUUCUGAAAAAAUGUAUGAUAAGCAUCUUAAUAUUCAGUCAAAAUCACCUCUAAGGGGUGCCUGGGUGGCUCAGGGGGUUAAAGCCUCUGCCUUCGGCUCAGGUCAUGAUCCCAGAGUCCUGGGAUCAAGCCCACAUUGGGCUCUCUGCUCAAUGGGGAGCCUGCUUCCCUUCCUUUCUCUGCCUGACUCUCUGCCUACCUGUGAUCUCUGUUUGUCAAAUAAAUAAAUAAAAUCUUUAAAAAAAAUCACCUCUAAUAUGUUAGUGACAUAAACCUUUCAGACGAUAUUACAGUUAAGUAGAGAUGAAGGAAUAAUCAGCUUGCUAUUCACAUAAAAAGCAGUAUUGCUUAUUUUGCUCCACAAAGGUUCAUUAACUCAUUUUAAGCCAGACACUUCAUUAAACAAACAUGUGACCAGACACAAGCAGUUCUUUCAGUAAGUGAAAGUGAGACACCACGGAGUAGAAUGUGAGCUCCCAGGGUAAAGAUUCUUUUCACAUUCUUUCUUAAGAAUUUGUCUAUUCUUUGGGGGCUUUCUCUUUGAUUGCUGUCAUACAUUUAUCAAGAGAACAGCUUUGAGGAAUUUGUGGAAUUAGUAAGCAACAAUAUUCUGUCCAUUUGUUGUAUGAGUUCUUCAUUUCGAUGACAAGGCUGAAUCUAGAAGGGAUCUGAAAUUUUGCCCAGGCACGUGGAGAUGUGCAUUCUACCUACUCGGUUACACGGACAGCCUUAAGUGACCCUGCCACGAAGACAUCUCGAAAGAAUAAGGGAAAAAGAAUUGAAAUAGAUUUUUUCUCAUAUGAUCAUCUUUAUUCCAUGCAUUUCUUAAUGGAAAUGUCAUUGACGUAUAACACUGUAUAAGCUUGAAAUGUACAAAGUGUUGAUUUAGUACAUUUAUGGAUUGCAUAUAAUUACUACCAAAGCUUUAAGGUAACAUUCCCCAUUACAUCCCAUAAUUAUUUCUCCUUUGUGAUGGGGACCAUUAAGAUCUAAUCUCUCAGUAACUUUGAAGAUGAUGCUACAGUAUUGUUGACUCUAAUGCACCACUGUGCAUGAGCUCUCCAGGCUUACUUAACUACCAGUUCCAUGUUUGUACCUUUAAACAGCAUCUGCUCAAUUCUCUCACCCCCUAGGCUUUGCUAACCACCAUUCUACUUUGUUUUUUGAGUUCAUCUUUUUUAGAUUCCGCCUCUAAGUGAAAUCAUACAAUAUUCGCCCUCCUCUGACUUAUUUCAGUUAGCAUAAUGGCCUCAAGGUCCACCCAGUUUGUCCCAAAUGGCAGGAUUUUCACUUUUUAUUUUUGUUUAUAAGUAAAAUGGGAUUACCAAAGUAGGAGACCCUAGGGGCUCUCUCAGAAGGAGCGUUCCCUUUUGUUAGGGUGUCAGGAAAGGAGAGUAGAUAAUCUACUAGUUUAAACAAAGAAAAAAAGCUACAUUUGAGAGUUUCCAGUUUUAAAAAUUGUUAUGUUUAGUUAAAAAAAGGGGGGCCGGAUAACAAAAGUUUUCACCUAAUUUAUUCUCUGGCUGAUUUAAUCCAUUUAUAUUUGCAUACAUUAGCAUACAAGAGAACUCACUCAAUGAAACCAAUUAUUUAAGUUGAGCCAAACAAUAAUGGCAAGGAAAGAAUGGGGAAAAUUAUAGUAGAUUUUAACUGUUUAAGUAUUUAUAGGUAAGGAAAUUAAAGUGAGGGCUUGUAUGUUCUCUCUGUUUAAUAUUUCCCCUCAUAUUUUCUAUUCUUUAUAACUAGGAAGAAUCUGAGAACUGUUACAUUGGCCUAAGUUGCUUUUCAGAAGGCUAAUUAAAGUAAAAAAAAAAAAAAAAAAAAAAAGCUAAAAGCUCAGAGUUGUAAGGGGUCUCCAGGGUUUAGGUGCUUCAUCUCCUUACCCUCAGGCACAUUUCACAAGUAAUUUGGGCAGAUAAACCUAGAGAAAAGGUGAUUCCACAACCCAUUUCUAGUAAUUCAUUGUAAUGUUUAAUUGACCUGCCCUUACUGGCAGGAAUUUCUUACAUCUGUGUGAAAUGCUUUGUGCAGUCCCUUAAAUAAUCACAUGAAAGAAAAUCUGAAGCAGUAUUUGUUCCAUUUAUGUCUGGGUCAGUUAUAACCAGAGCCUUUGUCGCCUUCAUUGGAAUAGAAGAUUGCCUUCUCCACUUCCUCCCCUACGUACUAUCACCAUUCUUUACUUACACAAGCCCAAUCUGACUUCUGUUUCCUAAUUCAAAGACCUAUCACUUCUCUGAAGUAACUGUUUCCAAGGUAACACAUGACCCUCUGGUUUCCAAACCUAAAAAUGCUUUGAAAUUUACUCGUUUGACCUCUCUUGGCAUUUGACUGGGUCGACAACUCCUUUAUUUCAAAACACUUUCCUUCUUUGACUGGUUUUGCUUUUACAUUUCUGGGGAUUUUCUGUAUUUAUCUAUCUUUUAAUUUUAGUGUUACCUAUGCUCCAGCCCAUCCUUGAUCUCUCUCUCUCUCUCUUUCUCUCUCACUCGCUCUUUUUCCCUCACCCUAUACUCUCUCCCUGAACAAUUUUAUCCACAUGCUGGUUUUAGUCUCUAUCAACUCCAAAUCCAUAUUAGUUCAUACCUCUCUUAUGGUCUUUAGAUUUAUAUAACAAAUUUUAUAAAAGUGUACUGAUGAGUCAAAAAGCCCUGAUGUUCCAUAAAUUGUACAUAUACACUAUCACCACCUCCUCAAUGAAAAAAUCAGUUUUCAACACAAAAUCUCCAUUAUGUGCCAUUCUGUUGGCCAGUCUUCAUGCUGCACAUAAGACUUAGAAUCAAGUCAAAUACACACAUGGUCUCCAGAAGCCUAGGUCCAGAGACCCUGAGCUUUCUCUUGGGUUUUCCUGCUAUCGUGUCCUUCCCCAUCAUGGUUCAUACCACAUUGUGCCAUAUCUGUCGUUUCCUCAUGUAUACCUCUCACUUACAGGGGCAAAAGGACAGGAACUCCUUCUGUCCUGUUAUGUCUCUUUCUAACUUAAUAUUGACUUAAAUGAAUGGAUUUUCCCAAAUGCCAUUUAUCC
ensembl:lincRNA